CUGGAGACCAAAGAGAGAGGAACUGCAAAGAAAGAGCAAGACAUCCAAACUACUGAAGAAGAGCAUAAUCUACACAGUAAAGUGGAGCUAACUUCUCCUGGGUCACAAUGUGGAUAUCUAGAAGGAGAUUUGUGGAGAAAAGAUGAAGAUUCACAUGACAGUAAAUCACUUGAGUUUGGAAAACCUGUGAGACGCAACAGCAACCCAUUUGAGCUACCUAAUAUGACUGGAAGUGAUCAUGGACCUUUAGACACACUCUGAAUGGACAGACUUCAAUUGGAGGACUUUCAGUUUCCACGGAUAUCUCACUUCAUCAAUGUUCAACAAAUGGCUCAAAAUGUGAUGGUCACAUAUCAAAAAUACAUGCAUGUGUGAAACUAUACAGACCACAAGCUGGAGGAAACAAUAAAUAUGUAGUUCAGUCGUGAAACUCUAGAUGGU